CUUACCUUAGUUUAGUUUUAGAACAAUGGUUUUGGGGACCAUAGGUCUCUUAGGAGAGGUUUGG
rnacentral:tRNA from 1 species